AGUGAACGCUGGCGGGGUGCCCAAUACAUGCAAGACGAACGGAGUGGCGGAAGGGUGAGUAAUAUAUUGCUCAUCUGCCCCUUGAUGGAAGACAACAGUUAAAAAUGACUGCUAAUACUCCAUAGAAAGGGAUGAGACUAUAUCGUAUCAGCGAGUCGUUGGGGUAACGGCCUACCGAGGCUAUGACGCGUAACUGGUCUGAGCGGAUGAUCAGUCACAUUGGAACUGAGACACGUUCCAAACUCCUACGGGAGUCAGCAGUAGGGAAUAUUGCGCAAUGGGGGAAACCCUGACGCAGCAACGCCGCGUGGAGGAUGACACUUUUUGGAGCGUAAACUCCUUUUGUUAGGGAAGCGGUACCUAACGAAUAAGCACCGGCUAACUCCGUGCCAGCCGCCGCGGUAAUUC
rnacentral:rRNA from 1 species